GCGUGGAGACAGGUGGUGCAUAGCUGUCGUCAGCUCGUGUCGUGAGAUGUUGGGUUAAGUCCCGCAACGAGCGCAACCCUCACCCCUUGUUGCCAUCAGGUGACGCUGGGCACUCUAGGGGAACUGCCCCGGUCAACGGGGAGGAAGGUGGGGAUGACGUCAAGUCAUCAUGCCCCUUACGCCCUGGGCUACACACGUGCUACAAUGGCCGGUACAAAGGGAUGCAAUACCGCGAGGUGGAGCUAAACCCAGAAAGCCGAUCUAAGUUCAGAUUGGAGUCUGCAACUCGACUCCAUGAAGGAGGAAUCGCUAGUAAUCGCGCAUCAGCACGGCGCGGUGAAUACGUUCCCGGGCCUUGUACACACCGCCCGUCACACCACGAAAGCCAGCUGUACUCGAAGUCGCUGAG
rnacentral:rRNA from 1 species